rnacentral:ncRNA from 1 species
CGUUCCGAGGAGCGCUGCGACGGACUUGAUUCGCCAGGCUCGGAGAUCCCCAACCGCGCUCACGUUAC